rnacentral:lncRNA from 1 species
CAACAUCAUGGUCAAAAAAACUGGCCAGCUCUUCCACAUUGACUUUGGACAUAUUCUUGGAAAUUUCAAAUCUAAGUUUGGCAUUAAAAGGGAGCGAGUGCCUUUUAUUCUUACCUAUGAUUUCAUCCAUGUCAUUCAACAAGGAAAAACAGGAAAUACAGAAAAGUUUGGCCGGUGAGUACUGCCCUUGUGCCAAGGCUGAACACUUCUAACAUUUUCUUAUCUGACCAGGUGGACCAGCAUUUCUUAGCUGAGAUAUAUUUGGAUCUGGGAGAUAUUCAGUCUGAUUAUAGGAAGCUUUUGGGGGAAUUUGCCUGUCAGAUUAUUGUGCUGGUUCAGAAAUUCCCAGAUAGGAGAAACAGAAUGCUAGAAAUUUAAAAUAAUUAUUAUAUUUUAUUCCAAUAAUAUACUACCUUUUACCUGUUUCAGAACAUUCUCUGAAACUAUUAAGACAGUUGAUAGGAAGAUGCUGAAAAGACAUCUGCUGUCAUUGUGUAUGGAGUACAGUAAGGGAACUAGAAUUCAGGGCAAAUUUUUUAAUCUCUGAUCUAUUACUGGCUACCUACAUGUUCCCAAGCAUA